CUUAACCUGGGAAUUGCAGCUGAUACUGGCUGGCUAGAGUGUAGUAGAGGGAAGCGGAAUUCCAGGUGUAGCGGUGAAAUGCGUAGAGAUUUGGAGGAACACCAGUGGCGAAGGCGACUUUCUGGUCUGUAACUGACACUGAGGCGCGAAAGCGUGGGGAGCGAACAGGAUUAGAUACCCUGGUAGUCCACGCCGUAAACGAUGAGUGCUAAGUGUUAGAGGGUUUCCGCCCUUUAGUGCUGCAGCAAACGCAUUAAGCACUCCGCCUGGGGAGUACGGUCGCAAGACUGAAACUCAAAGGAAUUGACGGGGGCCCGCACAAGCGGUGGAGCAUGUGGUUUAAUUCGAAGCAACGCGAAGAACCUUACCAGGUCUUGACAUCCUUCGCUACUUCUAGAGAUAGAAGGUUCCCCUUCGGGGGACGA
rnacentral:rRNA from 1 species